rnacentral:lncRNA from 1 species
CUCUCCGUUGCUCGAUCCUCCUUACACUCAGCUCCGUCUUCUUCGUCAUGCUCAGCUUAGUCGUCGCCGUCAGCCCAUCGGAGUGAAAGCUCGAGCAAGUGAGCAACAAUGGUGGAUUUUAGAGAUUUUGCCCAUCUGGCCCUUUACCUUUCGGAUAUUAACUCUUUGACCCCAAACCUAUUGAAUGUGCAGAAAGGUCCCCUCGAAUCAACGGACAGAACUUAGGUUCACCCCCUAGGGUGAACCUUUAAAUUCACCCCACCCUUUAGCACCAAUCAAAUUUCCACAUUGAUUAUUAAUUAAAAAAUAUUAAAUGAAACAAAAAUUAGCUAUAAAAAAUAAAAAAUACUAAUUUUAACGACGCUAACGCUUCCACAUAAACCCUAAACCCUAAAUCUUAAAUUCAAAAUCCUAUACCCUAAAUUCUAAACCCAAGUCCAAACCCCUAAACCCAAACCCUAUACCCUAAACCCUAAUCCUAAACCCUAAACCCUAAUCCUAGACCAUAAACCUAAACCCUAUAUCCUUAUACCCUAAUCCUAGACCCUAAACCCAAACCCUAUACCCUAAACCCUAAUCCUAGACCCUAAAUCCAAA